CGUAGGAGACGAGCGUUAUCCGGAUUUACUGGGCGUAAAGCGUGUGCAGGCGGUUCGGCAAGUUGGAUGUGAAAUCUCCCGGCUCAACUGGGAGGGGUCGUUCAAUACUACCGAACUUGAGGUCAUCAGAGGAAGGUGGAAUUCCGGGUGUAGUGGUGAGAUGCGUAGAUAUCCGGAGGAACACCAGUGGCGAAGGCGGCCUUCUGGGAUGAUCCUGACGCUCAGACACGAAAGCUAGGGGAGCGAACGGGAUUAGAGACCCCGGUAGUCCUAGCUGUAAACGAUGUAGACUUGGCGUCGGAGGGUUCAAAACCUUCGGUGUCGUAGCUAACGCGAUAAGUCUACCGCCUGGGGACUACGGCCGCAAGGUU
rnacentral:rRNA from 1 species